rnacentral:miRNA from 1 species
UUGGCCCAUGACUGGAGGUAUAGC